rfam:Chlamydomonas reinhardtii strain CC-503 cw92 mt+ CHLREscaffold_5 genomic scaffold, whole genome shotgun sequence.
GGGAGUUUGGUCUAGUGGUAUGAUUCUCGCUUAGGGUAGACGCUAGCAUGCGAGAGGUCGUGGGUUCAAUUCCCGCAACUCCCC